rnacentral:rRNA from 1 species
CAGCAGCCACGGGAAUACGGAGGGUGCAAGCGUUAAUCGGAAUUACUGGGCGUAAAGCGUGCGUAGGUGGUGGUUUAAGUCCGUUGUGAAAGCCCUGGGCUCAACCUGGGAAUUGCAGUGGAUACUGGGUCACUAGAGUGUGGUAGAGGAUAGUGGAAUUUCCGGUGUAGCAGUGAAAUGCGUAGAGAUCGGAAGGAUCAUCUGUGGCGAAGGCGACUAUCUGGGCCAACACUGACACUGAGGCACGAAAGCGUGGGGAGCAAACAGGAUUAGAUACCCCAGUAGUCCCUGUCUCUUAUAC